CGAAGAAGCAAACUCGUCAUUAUCUUCUUCUUCCCUCUUUCCCUAUUUUCCUGAUAAUUUCUCUCUGAAAUUCGUUGUCUCUGAAUCAAACCGAAAGGAACCCUAAAAUCAAGACAAUUAUACGUGAAGAUGGUGAAGCCAAGACGUGGAAAGAAGAAGGAGAAGAAAAAGAAACCAGAAAUUGAAAGGAUAAACAGAGUCGCCGGUGGUUAAAGGAUGCUUUACCUCUUGAGACUACACUUGUGCCUGAGUCAAAGAUUGAACCUGAUAAUGUGAACAAAGAGUUGAGCAAGAGUGCUGAUGGAAAGGAUGGCGCCAAACAUUUCUCUGGGGCAUCUGAGAUCCCUCGAUCGGGAUCAUUUUUUGAGCACGAUGAACGUGGUAGUGCGGCACAAGGUGGCCGAAGCUUUGGUCGCAGAGAUAGUAAUGGAUCUUGCUUUGCAUUUAUCUCAAUAGAUUAUGGACAUGUGAGCAACCCGAAGGAUAGGUCAAGUGAUAGGAAUGGAAGAGACAGGAGAACACAAUUCGGCACAAAGAGGUGACAAGGCCCAACAUUACCUCCAGACCCAAAAGGAAAGAAGAAAGCAACGAAGUAUAUGAAUCUUUAGAUGUACCUAUUUUAUGUUUGUGUUUAUGAUGAAUUUCUGGAAUGUUAUGUUAAGAUGAGACAAUGGAGUUUCUGAAAUAGGUAAGUCUUUAUUAAACUAUUGCAGUUACAUUUGCAGAUUUUUCUUGAAUUCCUUGCAUAUUUCAUGUACUUUUCCCUUGA